rnacentral:lncRNA from 1 species
GGCAUGUACUAUUUUACAAUAUGACAUAACUUCUAUAUUGUUAAUGGCAUAACAAAAGAUGGAGAAAUAAUCAUACCUAAUAAUCUUGUCUGGGGAGGGGAGUGUGUUGGAGAAGUCUGCAGGGUGGAGGGUAAAGAGGCUUUCAUUUUCUACUCUAUAUAAUUCAUGGUUAUUCCAACCCUUUAUGAUACAUAUGUAUAAUUUUUGUAAAUAAAGAGAAAUAUGUCAAAUCAGCCUAUUUUCACAAGGCUCUGUGUGAACAAACACGCUACAGAGUUUAGCACACAGACUGUAUUGUAGCAAUAGAAAUUAGCAGCUUUCCUCAAGAAAUUCUCCAACAGCCUAAAGGAAAAUGGUAAAGAGAUGAAAAUGGUGAUAAAACAGAAUGGAUGCAGGAGAUAGAUUCCAACUGCCCUCCUCAAUUUAGGCCGCUGGGUGUUGCUUGAGAAAAUCAACUGGAUUUACAGACUGGGGAAACUAAUUUCUGGUUUCCAACCUGGGCUAGGAGCUCAACACACUUGGUGAUCCUCCCAUUUUUCCCAGUCAACUCUCUCCUGAGUUCUCCUCUUCUUCAUCUCCUCUACCUCUACCAGCUACUCACGCUCAGCAGCAGACUUCUCAGGAUACAGAGCCUUUGGACUGGCCCUCCCCUACUGUCUUCUCACUACAUUCACAGCUGCUCCUGCCUGCCUACCAGCUCAUCUCCACUGUCCACACACCCUCUCAUGGAGGCUGAGUGGGGCUGUCUGCUGCUGCUUUCCCACCAGCACAUGAGAAUGGCCAGGACCCUCCCAUCUAACAAUCACUCUUUCCACCACAGAGGACCCUCCAGUGACUGUCCCAUCUCUUCUCUCUCUGUCACAUCUAAUUUCUUGAAGAUGUGGUCUGGAUCUGUGACCUCUCCUUCCUAAUCCCCCAUUCACAUCACGACCUUCUGGCAUCUGGCUUUGCUCCUCAGCAGUUUCUCGAACAAUUCUCACUAAAAUGACCUCACUUUUGCUAAAUUCAGUGUGUUUGAACUCUGCUCAGUAUUUCGACUGUUGACCACCACAUCUUUCAUGAAAUGCUUCUACGGCCAGCCCUUAGCCUCACUUUCCCCUUCCAAGGGUAUCUGCUUCUUUCCAGGUCAUUGCAAACUCCUUUCUUCAGGCUGGUCUUAAAUCCUAGUAUUCUGGAGGCUUUCAGUCAUGUCUGUUUCUCUGCUCCUUCCACACAGUCCCUUGAGGCAUGUCAUCAGCGUUCAUGGCUUCAUUCAGCACCACUGUGCUCAUGACUCCAGCUCAGCUUAGGCCAGGCACCUCACCCCAGAUGGUGCUGCCCAUUUAUUUGAUUGCAGUUUAGAACCCUUUCUUUGACACUCCGCUGGCACCUCAAAAUCUACAGUUCUCAAGUGGAGCUUGUCGUAUUUCUUCUGCUCACCCAAGACUACUACUUGUUCUGAAGUUUUCUCCUUCCCUGAGUGACAGGAACCACAAUACACACAUCUGCCUGAGCCAGAAAACUGAAUAUUCUUUUUCAUUUUUGCCUCUUUCUAGCUGGGAGAAUCCAUUCAAUCAUUAAGUCUGGCAGAGUCUUCAUCCUUCAUAUAUUUUGAAACUGUCCACUUGUGUCCUUUCCCAGAGAGACAACAGAGGUGACUGGUAAGGAAUACAGCUCUGGGGUGGAACUGCCUACAAGUGUGUAGUGAUUGCAUCACCUCGCAUCACCAUCUGAGCCAAAGUAUUGUUUCAGCUUCCUCGUGUGUAACAUACGGAUGAUAAUAAUAGGGUUAUGAUUAUCUGCAAAAUAGGAUUAUUGUAAGAAUUAACAGUCUGAUUCAUGUAAAGAGCCUGGCACACAGUAAGCCUUCCUUAAAUACUGUGUUUCUCACGAGCCCCAAGCCCACUGUUUCUGGGCCCACAGACAACAUUGCUUGUCUGGAUGGUUACAAGAGCUUCUUAACUGGUCUCCCUGACUCAGCCUCGUCCUUUUUUAACCUUUCCCCGUAAUGCAGCCAAAAUUAAGUCCCUAAGAACAAAACUGAAAACGUUCUUCUUGUGUCAGAAUCCCUCAACAGACCCUUACGGUUUACCCUUUCCAUGGACAAGUCCCUCCAUUGUCUUCAACGGACCUGGGCGGUCUCCUGCUCACUCACACUGCAAAAAUAAACACUUGCCUUUCUCUGGAACCUCCCGGGUUUUGCCGUUUUCCGAGGUACUUUUCUCUUCCUAGAUUUCCCCGCCACUGUACACACACCCCCACAAAUCACGCUGAUCCCUGGCACCUAAGGACGCACGGCACAAAGAGCCCCCCCCCCGCCCCCCGGAACCUUUCUCUCGCCUGAAUUCAGGCGCUGCCCGAGACGGGGCUGGAAUGUAGACUCUGCACUGAUGUUCUCAGCUCUGCUGCUGCUCUUGCCGGCUCCGUGGCGCUCCUUCCCUCCGCCUCAGGCGAGCCCAGGGGAAAACUGGCAACGGAGUGGUGAGGUGGGCACAGUGGCCCAUAAAACAUCCCAUUCCAACCGAUGGAAAACAUCAGUAUUCCACUGAAUGAAGAUACCAUAAGUUAUCCAUCCUACUGCUGAUGACUGUCUUCAGUUUGGGUUCCGGUAACCUCUCCCAGCCUUCAGCCCUUUGGACCGAGGGGUGGUAACAGCUCUGCUGGUGCUAGCCAGGCUUCCUGCACUGCCCCUUAGAGUUCCCCUACACCUCACACACACACUUCAUAAUUAGUUCUUUUGUAAAUAAACUCUUCCUGAAUUAUCCUAAUUUGAGUUUGCCCACACUUUGCAGUUGGGACUUGACCAGUGCAAAUGUUUUAAAUGUGUUUUGCUAAGCUCUAAGUCAAAAGAAGAAAAAGUUGUAUUCCCUUUUCGACCACUCACCACUGUGACUCGACCACUCACACAGCUGGUCUGGAGCAGUGUUUAUUGGGAGCACUUACAGAGGCAGAGGAAGUAACAGGUUCGCAGUUCCCCCAUUGUCCAUCACAUCCUGGACCGUAUGCGGGCAUUCAGGAUGAUUGUUCUACUCAUCACGUUCUGAAAGAGGAACUCAGCCCCCUCUCCUUGGGCUAUGAGGAUUUUUAGCUGCAUCACUGGGGGAAGCAUCAGUCCCUCCCCUGGCAUGACCAUGGCCUGGUGUCCAAGUCUAUUGUUCCAGCUGUGUGAUGUGGCAGCCCUUGGCCUCCAGCCCUGCUCUCCAUCCUUGGAUUUCAUGACUGGGAGAGCCCUGGAUCCUCCACACGCAAUCAAGGGCUAGGUUUCUAGUCUUGCAAUUGCAGGGCUAGGAUGUGGUCAGCGGCCCAGUGGUCUGCAGCACAGACCCACCAAAGCAGAUUUCCCUGGGGCAAGUUUUAGUUCCCAAGUAGCCUGAAGAGGCAACUCCAGCUCUGAGAGGCCAGCCUACAGAGGACCAGACUGGUGAGUCAUUCCUUAGCUCUCAAGUUCAAUCUUUUUACACCAUUACAAAACCCAACAUGAGGACUCAAAUGUGUCUUAUCUAAAAUUACAACACUCUCAGGAUAACCAAUGUGUUACCAGUUGUGUUAAAACAUAUUUGUGCAGAUCUUGAAUAAGGUUCCUUCAUCUGCUUAACUGAAACAUAUCCUGAGAAUUUAAGUCAAGUCAUUUAAAAAAUACUGCUAC